rnacentral:tRNA from 1 species
CGGGGAGUAGCUCAGCCUGGCAGAGCACCACGUUCGGGACGUGGGGGCCGGAGGUUCAAAUCCUCUCUCCCCGACCA